rnacentral:rRNA from 1 species
GAUGAACGCUAGCGGCAGGCUUAACACAUGCAAGUCGAGGGGUAGAAGGAGCUUGCUCCUUUGAGACCGGCGCACGGGUGCGUAACGCGUAUGCAAUCUACCUUUUGCAGAGGGAUAGCCCAGAGAAAUUUGGAUUAAUACCUCAUAGUAUGUGAGGAUGGCAUCAUUUUCACAUUAAAGUCACAACGGCAAAGAUGAGCAUGCGUCCCAUUAGCUAGUUGGUAAGGUAACGGCUUACCAAGGCUACGAUGGGUAGGGUCCUGAGAGGGAGACUCCCCCACACUGGUACUGAGACACGGACCANACUCGUACGGGAGGCAGCAGUGAGG